GACAUAGUGAAGCCGUGUGGGGUCUUGUGCGAUUCACUAUUGUUUAUCUUUCUUUGAUUGUUCAUAUUGAAGUCUAGUGAAGCCAUGUGUGGCCUUGUGCGAUUCACUAGCAUUGUUCUUGACAUCUUGUUGGUUUUGUUGUUGCUUGAAAAUUGUAUUGUGAACUUGAUCUUGAAUGUUUAGGGACUUGGUAGGUUGAAAAUGAUUUGGUGACUUGGUAGGUUGAAAAUGAUUAAGUGUAGAGACUUUAAGGGUGACACAGUAGGUUGAAAGUGGUUAAGAGUAGGAAGUUUGAAGGGGAUUUUGUGUUUUGAAUGUGACUUGUUUGACGACUUAGUAACUUGAAAAUGGUUAAGUGUAGGGACUUUGAAGGGGAUUUUUUUUGUUUUGAAUGUGGUUUGUUAGGUCACUUACUUUCUCGAAAAUUGUUAAGUCUAG
rnacentral:lncRNA from 1 species